rnacentral:rRNA from 1 species
UACGUAGGGUGCGAGCGUUUAAUCGGAAUUACUGGGCGUAAAGUGUGCGCAGGUGGCCGCGCAAGUCGAGUGUGAAAUCCCCGGGCUUAACUUGGGAAUUGCGCUCGAAAACUACGUGGCUCGAGUAUGGCAGAGGAAGGUGGAACUCCACGUGUAGCGGUGAAAUGCGUAGAGAUGUGGAGGAACACCGAUGGCGAAGGCAGCCUUC